rnacentral:tRNA from 1 species
AAGACUUUAAGUUAAUAAAACUAAAGGCCUUCAAAGCCUUAAAUGGAACAAAUUUCAAGUCUUG